UGAUCUUAGUCGGAACCAGUUUGCAAAUGUGGAUAAUCUAUGGAAAUGUACAAAGAUGCAAAAUCUGGAGCUUGGAUUAAUCAUUUGCAUUCUGUUUCAUCCCUGAGUGAGGAUUUCUGAUGAAGGGUUGUGUUAGUUGAGGAUCCUUUGUUUUGUUGUUCAGGUGUGCCUUCGAGUCCAUCAGGUGUGCCCAGCAGAUGCUUGUAAAAGCAGGAGGGGAAACACUGGUCACUGGAGCUGCCACUGAACCUCCAUUGUUAGGUAAAUCUUGUGGCGAGCAGCGGAUGGUCGGAUAGCUGUGGCUGAUGGUGUGGAUGGCAUAGCGGAGGAUUAGAUGGGGUGGAGGGCAUGGAGGGAGGUGUAGCACAUCAAGGAGGGUUAGGGACAUAGGUCAAGAGGAAGAGACUGGACUGUUAGCGCAAAUCGGGAUGGGAUGAACGGUAUUAGCUGAAAAUAGUGGUGGAAAUUAUUUACGCACGGGAAACAUUUGUAACAGUUCCUGUUUCCUGUGGUAUCGGUUAAGGCGCUCAAAAUCUUGAACCGAACUUUUCGCUGUCUUAUACUCACAAUAAGUAGAAACAUUCUUCUUGGAAUUAGUAACUAUUCUUUUAUGCUUCUUUUAGGAUGUUA